AAAUUUGGGGAGAAAAAAAAUGGUUGAUUCCAUUUCAAUAGAGCAAUUAAAACAAUUUUUUCCAUUCCUACUUGACAUAGCGGAAGACGGUAGAAAGAAUAGAAAUAAUCACAGAAAUUAAAUCUAUGAAUUUUACAAUCACAAGAAUUCACAAAAUAUGGGAUAAAUGACUAAAUAACCAAAUAUUUCAUAAAACAUAAUAAUAAUGAGAGUUCUCCUAAUACAUCUGAAAAUAUCAUAUAAAUACUAAACUAUAAGCUAGUAAACUUAGUUAUGAAAGGACUAAUAAAAUUACGAAAAUAUCCAACUAAACAUAAAAUUGGGAAAAACUUCGGAAGCUCAAACUGUCCUUUUCCAAGUCCCUUUUGGUCUUGUUUUCCUUGGGCCUUUUUCGUCACAACCCAAUCACCACGUUGAACCUAUCGUCCUUGAUGAUUCUGGGGAGUUUGAAACACGGGAUUUUGUCGACUGUUUCAACCACGAUUCUUAUCCCAAAAAUUUUAUCCUUAAUUCCUUGUUUUAGCCCUUCAUAAUACCUAGACGCUUUCAGAAUUGCAGACUCUUGUAAUUUAGUACGUUCCGUUAACCUCUAAAAUUCUGUUGUGUACUCAUGGAGGGAUUUAGUACCCUGCCGACAAUUCUGCAGUUUCUGGAACAUAACUUGCUCAUAAUCCAAUGGUAAAAAUCGUUCCGUCAGCAUCUUUUUCAUCCGACUCCAUUUAGUCACUGAUGUUCUUCCUUGUCUCCUCCGAGUGGUCCGUACGUUAUCCCACCAUAUACCAGCAGCCCCCUUUAGUUUGUAGGCUACCAGUUUGACCUGUUUAUCCUCUGAGGUUGACGCAAAAUCAAAUAACCUCUCUACCUCGUAUAUUCAGUCCAAAAACGACUCAAUAUUAAGAGCUCCAUCAAAAGUAGGAAGAUCCACUUUAAUUCGGAAAUCAUGAUUUUGGCCCUAAGUUCGUUUUGAUAUAUUAUGGGUCUCAUAACUUCAAACGAAACAAAAAUUACGCUCAAAACAAUAUCAACUCUACUUAAAUUUUGAUUUCCUUCUUUUUCCAACUCGGACAGUAUCACCCAUGGUCCCACCUCCCAUCAUCCACACGUAGCAUCAGAGUAAUUGAUUAGUUUUUCGAAUGACUUAUGUUAGCAGUAUCAUGUUGUAGUGAGAACAAAGAAUGCGAUGAGAUUAUAGGGUUUUAAAUGCAUAAGGGAACUAUUUAGGAUCUGAUUUUCCAAAAAGUAGUCCCAUGUUUAUAAAGAUUAUUAGUAUCAUAUUUUUGUUUAUUCAACAAAGAAUUAUAUAUAUACGAUCCGGAUCAAGUGCAUACCCC
rnacentral:lncRNA from 1 species